CUAGUGCAACUUGUGGAACCGCUGGACUUGUCUGAUGGAAAAACAAGGCUUUAUUCCGCACUGCGCCAGAGGGCAGACCUUUCCUGGACACAGAGGCUGACAAGGCAGUGGACACGGCUGAAGGGAUCCACACUAGACUGAGCAUGCUAAUCCCAGAGUCGUCACCGAAAUAGCGCACAUUGCACUGUGCGGGUGCAAGGAUCUCAAAGCUGAUGGUCCCCCUCGAGUUCCCAACUCCGGAAAUUCUCCCAAUACUUGCUCGGCUCUGUCCUGCAUAUGGACAAAAGAAAGUCUGCUUCUUCCAACAUCUGUCCCUGUGGAAUGCUGUUUGGGAUCCUGUCGCAUCCUUACAGCAUGUGGCCAACAGAGGCUCUAAAACACCUCAACCCAG
ensembl:lncRNA